AUUGAACGCUGGCGGCAGGCCUAACACAUGCAAGUCGAACGGUAACAGAAAGCAGCCUGCUGCUUUGCUGUCGCGUGUCGGACGGGUGAGUAAUGUCUGGGAAACUGCCUGUUGGAGGGGGAUAACUACUGGAAACGGUAGCUAAUACCGCAUAACGUCGCAAGACCAAAGAGGGGGACCUUUGGGCCUCUUGCCCUCGGAUGUGCCCAGAUGGGGUUAUCUAGUUGGUGGGGUAACGGCCCACCACGGGGACGCUCCCUAGCUGGGUUGUGAGGGUGACCAGCCAAACCGGAACGUAGACACGGGCCAGAAUCCUACGGGAGGGCGGAGUGGGGAAUAUUGGAACAUGGGCGGAAGCCUGGUCCCGGCAUAGCGGGGGGUUGAAGAAGGGCUUCGGGUUGUAAAGGUAUUUUCUUGGGGAAGAAAAGGAGUAGGUUAAUAACCUGUGCUCAUGACGGUAACCAAAGAAAAAGCAACGGCUAACUUCGUG
rnacentral:rRNA from 1 species